rnacentral:rRNA from 1 species
UGGCGACCGGCGCACGGGUGAGUAACACGUAUCCAACCUGCCGAUGACUCGGGGAUAGCCUUUCGAAAGAAAGAUUAAUACCCGAUGGCAUAGUUCUUCCGCAUGGUAGAACUAUUAAAGAACUUCGGUCAUCGAUGGGGAUGCGUUCCAUUAGCUUGUUGGCGGGGUAACGGCCCACCAAGGCAUCGAUGGAAUAGGGGUUCUGAGAGGAAGGUCCCCCACAUUGGAACUGAGACACGGUCCAAACUCCUACGGAAGGCAGCAG